AUGGAGGCUCUGUAUCAACUACAGACACCUCAACACCAUAACCUACAUCGCCAAGUACCCUGUGCCUAUCAUCGAAGAGUUGUUGGACGAGUUGCACGGCGCAACCUAGUUUUCCAAACUGGAUCUUCGCUCAGGCUAUCACUAGAUUCGCUGUCACGGAAGGUGAGGAGUAUAAGACAGUGUUCCAGACGCACUCAGGCCACUAUGAGUUCUUGGUGGUAUCUUUCGGGCUAG
rnacentral:rRNA from 1 species